UCGAGAAUCUUUCGCAAUGGGGGAAACCCUGACGAAGCGACGCCGCGUGAGCGAUGAAGGUCUUCGGAUUGUAAAGCUCUGUCACGAGGGGCGAAACAUUCACCGGUGAACAAUCGGUGGAUUUGACGGUACCUCGAGAGGAAGCCCCGGCUAACUCUGUGCCAGCAGCCGCGGUAAUACAGAGGGGGCAAGCGUUGUUCGGAAUUACUGGGUGUAAAGGGCGCGUAGGCUGUUUGGUAAGUCAGAUGUGAAAUCUUGGAGCUUAACUCCGAAACUGCAUUUGAUACUGCCAGACUAGAGUAUGAAAGAGGAAGAUGGAAUUCUCGGUGUAAGAGUGAAAUCUGCAGAUAUCGAGAGGAACACCAGUAGCGAAGGCGAUCUUCUGGUUCAAUACUGACGCUGAGUGCGCGAAAGCUAGGGGAGCAAACG
rnacentral:rRNA from 1 species